rnacentral:lncRNA from 1 species
CUUCCAGGGCUCCAGGGCCGUUCAUUCAUUCAACAACCACUCAUUAAUCACUGUGUGCUAUGCUGAGUGCUGAGGACUCAGAGGGGAGCAGGUAGACCCAAUCUGUCCUCCUAGAGCUCGCAGUCUGGUCGAGGGGAUCCUGCGAAUUAAGCAAAACAGCUUUCCUACCACUUUGCCUCCUACGUGAAUGCUCAUCUCCUUCCAGCCUGCACUUCCUGUCCUGAACACACACUAGCCCCCGGGGCGACCUUUCUGCAAGUAUGGUCCAGGCUCUCAGGUUCCAGGAAAAGGAAACCUCUACAGAGAAAGGGACACGUGAGUGGAGUUUUCAAGAAUGAACAGGAGUUCAGCAGGCAGAUAAGGAAGGGGGACAGCAUUACAGGAAGCAGGAAGAGCAGACUGAGGACACAGAGGGGAGAGAGCAGGGUUUGUUCUGGGAACUUCAAGCAGCUUGGAAUGACUGGAACUUCAUAGAGCAAGAGGGGAAACCCAGGGAGGGAAAUUGGCUGAGGUUGAGGGCUUUAAGUGCCACAAUGAUGGGUGGGGAAAAAAAAAAAAAAAAAAAACAGAAGCAGAAAUGUUUUGUCCUGAGCACUGAGGCUGGAUGUCCUGUUCUGCCACGUGCCGCCUGCUAACCUCGAAGAAGAUGGCCUACCCGUGGACCUUCACCUUCCUCUGUGGUUUGCUGGCAGCCAACCUGGUAGGAGCCACCUUAACCCCUCCUGUGGUUCUCAGUCUCAGCACAGAAGUCAUCAAGCAAAUGUUGGCACAGAAACUGAAGAAUCGCGACGUUACCAACACCCUGCAGCAGCUGCCACUGCUCACUGCCAUGGAGGAGGAGUCGUCCGGGGGCAUUUCCGGCAGCCUGGUGAAAUCCAUCCUGCAGCAUAUCCUCUGGCUGAAAGUCACCUCAGCCAGCAUCCAUCAGCUGCAGGUGCAGCCCCUGGCCGACAGCAGGCAGCUGAUGGUCAAGGCCCCCUUGGACAUGGUGGCUGGAUUCAACACGCCCCUUUUCAAGACCAUUGUGGAGCUGCACAUGGAGGUGGAGGUCCAAGCCAUCAUCCACGUGGAGACAAGCGAGAAGGACCACGCCCGCCUGGUCCUCAGCGAUUGCUCCAACACCGGCGGGAGCCUGCGCAUCACCCUGCUGCACAAGCUCUCCUUCCUGCUCCAAUGCUUAGCUGACAAGGUCAUAAGCCUUCUGAUGCCAGCGCUCCCCAAACUGGUGAAAAGCGAGCUGUGUCCUGUGCUCAAGGCGGGCUUUGAGGAUAUGCGUGGGGAACUCUUGAACCUGACGAAGGUGCCCAUGCCUCUCAACUCUGAGCACCUGAAGCUUGAUUUUAUUUCUCCUGUCAUCGACCACGGUGUUGUCCAUCUCAUCCUGGGGGCCAGGUUGUUCAACUCGGAAGGAAAGGUGACUAAGCUGUUCAAUGAUGUUGGGGAUUCCCUGAAUCUGCCCACCCUGAACCAGACCCCCUUGAGGCUCACCGUGAGGAAGGAUGUGCUGGUCGCUAUCAUAGCUGCCUUGCUCCAUUCGGGAAAACUCACAGUCCUAUUGGACUCUGUGCUUCCUGAGGUAGCCCGCCAGCUGAAGUCAAGCAUCAAGGUGAUCGACGAAACGGCAGCAGAGCAGCUGGGGCCUACACAGAUCGUGAAGAUCCUGAGUCAGACGACCCCGAUGCUCAUUCUGGACCAGGGCAAUGCCAAGGUGUUCCAACUGAUCGUGCUGGAAAUAUUCGCCACCGAUAAAGACAGCCGCCCCCUCUUCACCCUGGGCAUUGAAGCCUCCUCGGACGUUCAGUUUCACGUCGAAGAUUGCCUACUUGUGCUCAGCUUUAAUGAAAUCAGAGCUGAUCGGAUCCAUCUGAUGAACUCAGACAUCGGCCUGUUCAACCCUAAACUUCUGAACAACAUCACCACGGAGAUCCUCACCUCCAUCCUGCUGCCAAACGAGAAUGGUGCGUCCCUUUGCUGUCUGUUCCCUGCUCCCCAGGACAUUGAGGGCAGGCGCUUUAGCCUCUCCUGCCUGUGCCUCCAUGUGGGGCCCCUUUCAUUUAUUUUCCAGCUAUCCUCAGAGCAUUGUUCUAAUUCUGCCUCCUCCAGGAAGCCUUCUGGGUCAUCCAGCUGGAAAUGA